GGUUAACCGUAUAGGGGAGCCGGAGGGAAACCGAGUCUUAACCGGGCGUUAAGUUGCAGGGUAUAGACCCGAAACCCGGUGAUCUAGCCAUGGGCAGGUUGAAGGUUGGGUAACACUAACUGGAGGACCGAACCGACUAAUGUUGAAAAAUUAGCGGAUGACCUGUGGCUGGGGGUGAAAGGCCAAUCAAACCGGGAGAUAGCUGGUUCUCCCCGAAAGCUAUUUAGGUAGCGCCUCGUGAAUUCAUCUCCGGGGGUAGAGCACUGUUUCGGCUAGGGGGCCAUCCCGGCUUACCAACCCGAUGCAAACUGCGAAUACCGGAGAAUGUUAUCACGGGAGACACACGGCGGGUGCUAACGUCCGUCGUGAAGAGGGAAACAACCCAGACCGCCAGCUAAGGUCCCAAAGUCAUGGUUAAGUGGGAAACGAUGUGGGAAGGCCCAGACAGCCAGGAUGUUGGCUUAGAAGCAGCCAUCAUUUAAAGAAAGCGUAAUAGCUCACUGGUCGAGUCGGCCUGCGCGGAAGAUGUAACGGGGCUAAACCAUGCACCGAAGCUGCGGCAGCGAACGUAUCACCCAAGACAACUUUACGGAGUUGACGAUUGACGGAGCGAAGCGACGUCAAAGCGUUCAUUAAAGUCGAGUUGGCUUAGGGAUACGUUCGUUGGGUAGGGGAGCGUUCUGUAAGCCUGUGAAGGUGUGUCGUGAGGCAUGCUGGAGGUAUCAGAAGUGCGAAUGCUGACAUAAGUAACGAUAAAGCGGGUGAAAAGCCCGCUCGCCGGAAGACCAAGGGUUCCUGUCCAACGUUAAUCGGGGCAGGGUGAGUCGACCCCUAAGGCGAGGCCGAAAGGCGUAGUCGAUGGGAAACGGGUUAAUAUUCCCGUACUUGGUGUUACUGCGAAGGGGGGACGGAGAAGGCUAUGUUGGCCGGGCGACGGUUGUCCCGGUUUAAGCGUGUAGGUGUGUGUUCCAGGUAAAUCCGGUUCACUUUAACACUGAGGCGUGACGACGAGGCACUACGGUGCUGAAGCAACAAAUGCCCUGCUUCCAGGAAAAGCCUCUAAGCAUCAGGUAACAUCAAAUCGUACCCCAAACCGACACAGGUGGUCAGGUAGAGAAUACCAAGGCGCUUGAGAGAACUCGGGUGAAGGAACUAGGCAAAAUGGUGCCGUAACUUCGGGAGAAGGCACGCUGACACGUAGGUGAAGUGAUUUACUCAUGGAGCUGAAGUCAGUCGAAGAUACCAGCUGGCUGCAACUGUUUAUUAAAAACACAGCACUGUGCAAACACGAAAGUGGACGUAUACGGUGUGACGCCUGCCCGGUGCCGGAAGGUUAAUUGAUGGGGUCAGCGCAAGCGAAGCUCCUGAUCGAAGCCCCGGUAAACGGCGGCCGUAACUAUAACGGUCCUAAGGUAGCGAAAUUCCUUGUCGGGUAAGUUCCGACCUGCACGAAUGGCGUAAUGAUGGCCAGGCUGUCUCCACCCGAGACUCAGUGAAAUUGAACUCGCUGUGAAGAUGCAGUGUACCCGCGGCAAGACGGAAAGACCCCGUGAACCUUUACUAUAGCUUGACACUGAACAUUGAGCCUUGAUGUGUAGGAUAGGUGGGAGGCUUUGAAGUGUGGACGCCAGUCUGCAUGGAGCCGACCUUGAAAUACCACCCUUUAAUGUUUGAUGUUCUAACGUGGACCCGUAAUCCGGGUUGCGGACAGUGUCUGGUGGGUAGUUUGACUGGGGCGGUCUCCUCCUAAAGAGUAACGGAGGAGCACGAAGGUUGGCUAAUCCUGGUCGGACAUCAGGAGGUUAGUGCAAUGGCAUAAGCCAGCUUGACUGCGAGCGUGACGGCGCGAGCAGGUGCGAAAGCAGGUCAUAGUGAUCCGGUGGUUCUGAAUGGAAGGGCCAUCGCUCAACGGAUAAAAGGUACUCCGGGGAUAACAGGCUGAUACCGCCCAAGAGUUCAUAUCGACGGCGGUGUUUGGCACCUCGAUGUCGGCUCAUCACAUCCUGGGGCUGAAGUAGGUCCCAAGGGUAUGGCUGUUCGCCAUUUAAAGUGGUACGCGAGCUGGGUUUAGAACGUCGUGAGACAGUUCGGUCCCUAUCUGCCGUGGGCGCUGGAGAACUGAGGGGGGCUGCUCCUAGUACGAGAGGACCGGAGUGGACGCAUCACUGGUGUUCGGGUUGUCAUGCCAAUGGCACUGCCCGGUAGCUAAAUGCGGAAGAGAUAAGUGCUGAAAGCAUCUAAGCACGAAACUUGCCCCGAGAUGAGU
rnacentral:rRNA from 1 species